rnacentral:rRNA from 1 species
GUAACAAGGUCUCCGUUGGUGAACCAGCGGAGGGAUCAUUACUGAGUUUACGCUCUACAACCCUUUGUGAACAUACCUAUAACUGUUGCUUCGGCGGGUAGGGUCUCCGCGACCCUCCCGGCCUCCCGCCUCCGGGCGGGUCGGCGCCCGCCGGAGGAUAACCAAACUCUGAUUUAACGACGUUUCUUCUGAGUGGUACAAGCAAAUAAUCAAAACUUUUAACAACGGAUCUCUUGGUUCUGGCAUCGAUGAAGAACGCAGCGAAAUGCGAUAAGUAAUGUGAAUUGCAGAAUUCAGUGAAUCAUCGAAUCUUUGAACGCACAUUGCGCCCGCCAGCAUUCUGGCGGGCAUGCCUGUUCGAGCGUCAUUUCAACCCUCAAGCUCUGCUUGGUGUUGGGGCCCUACAGCUGAUGUAGGCCCUCAAAGGUAGUGGCGGACCCUCUCGGAGCCUCCUUUGCGUAGUAACUUUACGUCUCGCACUGGGAUCCGGAGGGACUCUUGCCGUAAAACCCCCAAUUUUCCAAAGGUUGACCUCGGAUCAGGUAGGAAUACCCGCUGAACUUAAGCAUAUCAAUA